CCUGCUUCUGCAUCUCCUCGGCGAUCCUCUUCAGGUGCUCCAUAGUACAGAACGGAGUCCUCACCAGUCCUAAUAACCGAGAUAGCGGUCCGCCUAAAUCUUCUGCUUCGUUACCUGCGGGCAUCGCCAUGCACUGCCAAACAGGAGCAUCACUCAGUUCUUCACUACUUGUACCCAAGAAUGUAAGGUAAACAUAUGCAUAUGAACAUCCAUGUUGGUUCACAGUAGAAAAGAUUGUGUCAAAUACUACAAUCUUAGGUAGAAAUGAAGAAUAAGUCCUUCAGGUAAUUACUGCUUCAGGUGAAGAGAAAGGAACAGUUUAGAUCAAACAGAAACUAUUGCUCAAACAAGAU
rnacentral:lncRNA from 1 species